rnacentral:rRNA from 1 species
UAGGGAAUCUUCCGCAAUGGGCGAAAGCCUGACGGAGCAACGCCGCGUGAGUGAUGAAGGUCUUCGGAUCGUAAAACUCUGUUAUUAGGGAAGAACAAAUGUGUAAGUAACUAUGCACGUCUUGACGGUACCUAAUCAGAAAGCCACGGCUAACUACGUGCCAGCAGCCGCGGUAAUACGUAGGUGGCAAGCGUUAUCCGGAAUUAUUGGGCGUAAAGCGCGCGUAGGCGGUUUGUUAAGUCUGAUGUGAAAGCCCACGGCUCAACCGGGGAGGGUCAUUGGAAACUGGAAAACUUGAGUGCAGAAGAGGAAAGUGGAAUUCCAUGUGUAGCGGUGAAAUGCGCAGAGAUAUGGAGGAACACCAGGGGCGAAGGCGACUUUCUGGUCUGUAACUGACGCUGAUGUGCGAAGGCGUGGGGAUCAAACAGG